UACGGAGGAUGCGAGCGUUAUCCGGAUUUAUUGGGUUUAAAGGGUGCGUAGGCGGACUGUCAAGUCAGCGGUAAAAUUGAGAGGCUCAACCUCUUCCCGCCGUUGAAACUGGUGGCCUUGAGUGGAAGAGAAGUAUGCGGAAUGCGUGGUGUAGCGGUGAAAUGCAUAGAUAUCACGCAGAACCCCGAUUGCGAAGGCAGCAUGCCGGCUUCCUACUGACGCUGAAGCACGAAAGCGUGGGGAUCGAACAGG
rnacentral:rRNA from 1 species